UGACGUUCUCAGGGCAGGGUGCAAUUCCCUACCGGCGGUAAGUGGCAGAAUUUUCUGCUGUAAGCCCGCGAGCGCCUGCUUCGGCAGGGUCAGCAGAUCCGGUGUGAUUCCGGAGCCGACGGUAUAGUCCGGAUGAGAGAGAACGAUG
rnacentral:ncRNA from 2 species